rnacentral:lncRNA from 1 species
AGUUUUAAAUGAUUUGUUGACUAAAAACAUUAAAAUCUUUUUCAGGUUCAGUUUUACUCAGUAAAACUGCAUGGAUAACCUUCACGUUUAUAAUGAUGGUAGUAGUUAUUGAUUUCUGCAUCAAAACAAUGGAAAAUGAAAAAGAUUUUGCUGCAGGAUGGAUCUGUACGACUGUAUUUCAGCAAGCGCUGUGGAUGAUUGCAAUAUAUAAUCAUAGUAAUGAAGAUCUAGGUACUUAAUCUACUUAAACUCAUCUACUUAAACUUUGUAAUUUGUUCAAUAUCCAAUUUCAGUG